UACGUAGGUGGCAAGCGUUGUUCGGAAUUAUUGGGCGUAAAGGGCGCGUAGGCGGCUUUGCAAGUGACGGGUGAAAUCCCUCGGCUUAACCGAGGAACUGCCUGUCAGACUGUAAGGCUUGAGACCGGGAGAGGUGAGUGGAAUUCCCAGUGUAGCGGUGAAAUGCGUAGAUAUUGGGAGGAACACCAGUGGCGAAGGCGGCUCACUGGACCGGUACUGACGCUGAGGCGCGAAAGCGUGGGGAGCAAACAGG
rnacentral:rRNA from 1 species